rnacentral:rRNA from 1 species
UGAGGAAUCUUGCGCAAUGGGGGAAACCCUGACGCAGCAACGCCGCGUGAGUGAGGAAGGCCUUCGGGUCGUAAAGCUCUGUCAGAUGGGAAGAAAUGGGUGGGGGCUAAUAUCGUCCACCCUUGACGGUACCAUCAGAGGAAGCACCGGCUAACUCCGUGCCAGCAGCCGCGGUAAUACGGGGGGUGCAAGCGUUGUUCGGAAUCAUUGGGCGUAAAGCGCGCGCAGGCGGCUUGGUCAGUCAGAUGUGAAAGCCCUGGGCUUAACCCAGGAAGUGCAUUUGAUACUGCCUCGCUAGAGUACGGGAGAGGAAAGUGGAAUUCCUGGUGUAGAGGUAAAAUUCGUAGAUAUCAGGAGGAACACCGGUGGCGAAGGCGACUUUCUGGCCCGAUACUGACGCUCAGGCGCGAAAGCGUGGGGAGCAAACAG